ensembl:lncRNA
GGCAGCGCGGGGCUCCCCGGGGCCUCUGCCCUCCGCGGCUGCGGGUCUGGCCGGGGCGGCGGAGAAGCCGCCGGGUCGCUUUGCAACUCGCCUGCCGCUUCGUGACUAUCACACCCCGAUCGAAUGGUGCUGCACCAUUAACAGUCCGUGGUGUGGUCGAAGAGGAAGGCUGCUUUUCCUGUGCUCCUCAUGCCCUCGGAAAAAAUGGUAGAUGGACUAAAAAGCAGGGGAUGAAGAACUUGAGAAAAGGAACUCGGGGGUACGUGUACUCUGCAAACUAGAUGAUUACCAGGAGCAGUCUUGGCGUGAGAAGCCUGGAACUCUCCCAAGGCGCAGAGUAAAUAGCUAGAUUUCUUUAGCUAACCUAGCUUGACCUUUUGCUAUAUUACUCAAAAGCAAGGCUGGACAGCACAGGAAGUAGGGCAGUGAAAGAAGAAGAAAAAGGAGAGAAAAGGAAAGAUUUAAUCGGAACCAAAUGAUCUGUAAUCAUUUAAGCGUUCAGAACCUGGAACAGAAUCCAGGAAUUACCAGUCUCAAUUUGAUUUUUUUUUUUUAAGUGUAAAUAUCUUGCAACGUAUAUAUUUUAUUUUCGGCUAGUGACUGGACCUCAUAGUGGUUGACAACAUUGUACUACUCAGUAACCUUGUUAUAGAUGUUUUUGCUGAAGCUUUAAAUUAACUGGUGAUUCAUGUCGGGAUAAAUAUGAUUCCGUAUGAUGGAAUUUCUGAGUAGUUAAUGAUUUGCUUUUUUAGAAACUUAGAACAUUACCUGAAAGUAUUCUGAAAGAUCAUUAUAUUUUGUAAGUCAAAAGUCAGGUUGAUAUUGCAAUCUUAAUUUAUCCUUAAGUCUAUAUGCAUUUAUCUAUGUAAUUACAGCAACAUUAUGUUUUAUGGUAAGAUCUCUUCACCAUUCAGUGCAUGGGAAACGUCACACUUCGGAAUUAAUCAAAGCUAUGUAGUGAAUUAAGCUAUUGUGUGGAGGACCUAUUUUUCUUAAGUAUGGCAUAUAUUCAGUGGAAUGGUAUAUAUUCAGUGACAAAAAGAAUUUUAAGAAGGAUUUUUAGUCUGCCUGCCAUUUUUUCCAAGGGCAUGAAGAGCACAGGAAAAGCAGUCUUCCUACAUUUAAAGAUAUGACAAUAUAUUUUUAUGACAAAAGCAUUAUUGUUUAGCUUAGCAGUUAGCAUCACUAUUAAUACCGCAAUGGGUACAUUGAAAUAGUAUGAUAAAUAAUGUAAAUGUGGAUCAUCUCAGAAUUAAAGUAGUUGAAUUCUGCCCUUCAUUGGCAGAUUGGAUCCAGAUUGGAUGUUGUCCAGAGACAUAGUUGAGAGUUUGCCCGGUUCUAAUUUAGGCACUAUAGAGAUUAACUAGUUCUCAUCUAUUCUGAACAAGUAAACUUAUCUGGGGCUUUUUAUUUACCUAGGAGGAUUUUUUAAAUAUUUAUUUACCUACUGUUUUAUUUAUCAGUACAUCAGCAAGGCUAUUCCAUUCUCUACCCUAGAAGUCUGUGUGCUGCUGGACAGUUCACUUCUUGUAGUAGCUUCUAAUUGUAUAGUCCUCAUUUUCUGAAUGUACAUCUUGAAAUUGUGUGGUCUGAUUUACAGAAGAGCUAAAUUCUGGAAUUUAAGUCACUGGGAGCUAGGCCCAGAAAAGUUUAAAAUGUUAAAUGCUCUAACAAAUAAAGCCACUACAUCUUAGUUUGCUCCCCA